GGGAAUAUUGCGCAAUGGGCGCAAGCCUGAUGCAGCCAUGACGCGUGUGUGAAGAAGGCCUUCGGGUUGUAAAGCACUUUCAGUGGUGAGGAAGGUGGUGUCGUUAAUAGCGGCCCCAAUUGACGUUAGCCACAGAAGAAGCACCGGCUAACUCCGUGCCAGCAGCCGCGGUAAUACGGAGGGUGCGAGCGUUAAUCGGAAUUACUGGGCGUAAAGCGUACGUAGGCGGCCUGUUAAGCAAGAUGUGAAAGCCCCGGGCUCAACCGGGGAAUGGCAUUUUGAACUGGCAGGCUCGAGUUCUGAAGAGGGUGGUAGAAUUUCCAGUGUAGCGGUGAAAUGCGUAGAUAUUGGAAGGAAUACCGGUGGCGAAGGCGGCCACCUGGUCAGAAACUGACGCUGAGGUACGAAAGCGUGGGGAGCA
rnacentral:rRNA from 1 species